AUCCUUUUGUAGUUCAUAAGGGUGAUGAUUGGGUUCUCAUGUGCACGCGUGAAACGUGACUCCCACAAAUCUUGUAAUGAUGUACGCACAUCUGACA
ensembl:snoRNA